rnacentral:rRNA from 1 species
AUGAAGAGGAAGAGAGGCGUGCCUAAGCUGGAGUACGGGGCCUCGUCCGGGGUGGAUGAGAGGUCCAACGAGAGCAGCGACAAGAUGCAGGGCCAGCUCCUAGCCGCUGCGCGCGGCGCCGACGGGGGCAAUGCCAAGUUCGCGUGGUAUGGCGCUCCAUCGGUGGAUGUGGCCGCGGCGGCGGUGGAGCACGGGUUCGGCAGGAUGAACAACCGGGUCCUUUUCCAUCGCGCGCACGGCGACGACGUCCACCUCUCGCCGCCUCGGUCUCUUUAUGCCAGGUCAGGUCAGAGUUCUGAAUUUGUGGUUUUGAUCGAUGGCAAGCAUGAAUAUAGGCAUAUAGCUGUAGGAUAA